CCCAAAUGGAUAGAGUGGAGAGAAUGGAGAGGAGGAGAAGAAAGUAGGAAGAGGAAGACAGAUGCAGAAGUGUGUCUGAGCUGAGCCUUGAGGAAUGGUCAGAAUUGACUGGGACACAGCAGAAAAGAGCCAUCUUGGAGGCAGAAAUCAGCCCUCACCCAACAAAUACUGGCAUCUUCAUCUUGGACUUCCAACCUCUAGAACCAUGAGAAAUAUAUUUUUGUUCUUUACACAUGGACCAAGAAGAUAAGCUGUCUGAUCCACACAUACCUGAAGUACAUAGAGACUCAUUGCUUUGGGUUACACAUUCACCUGCCACUGGGACUCCACCAUGCAUGGCCAUU